rnacentral:rRNA from 1 species
GACGAACGCUGGCGGCGUGCCUAAUACAUGCAAGUAGAACGCACAGUUUAUACCGUAGCUUGCUACACCAUAGACUGUGAGUUGCGAACGGGUGAGUAACGCGUAGGUAACCUGCCUGGUAGCGGGGGAUAACUAUUGGAAACGAUAGCUAAUACCGCAUAAUAUUGAUUAUUGCAUGAUAAUUGAUUGAAAGAUGCUAUUGCAUCACUACCAGACGGACCUGCGGUGUAUUAGCUAGUAGGUGAGGUAACGGCUCACCUAGGCGACGAUACAUAGCCGACCUGAGAGGGUGAUCGGCCACACUGGGACUGAGACACGGCCCAGACUCCUACGGGAGGCAGCAGUAGGGAAUCUUCGGCAAUGGACGAAAGUCUGACCGAGCAACGCCGCGUGAGUGAAGAAGGUUUUCGGAUCGUAAAGCUCUGUUGUAAGAGAAGAACGGGUGUGAGAGUGGAAAGUUCGCACUGUGACGGUAUCUUACCAGAAAGGGACGGCUAACUACGUG